GUUCUGGAAAUUUUUCGCCCCAGUUAAGUUUUAUUUUUCUCAUUCUGCCCUCCUUACAAGUAGGUGAAUUUAAAACGGGACAAAUUCGAAGAAGGCAGCAUAUAUCUUUUAAACACAAAUGUGUCUGAUCAAAUUUUAAAAGGGCAAAAUUGUUUUCAAGGGUGAAAGAGUGAAUAUUUUAAAAAUUAGAAUGGGGUGAAAAUAUCCAAUAAUACAGGUUAUAUGUAUUAAAACAGUACAUAUGCAUUUCUCUUUUCUUUAAAAUGAAAAUAAUUUGUUCUGUAAAAGGACAAAUUUUGUUCUGAUUUGUAUCAAAUAAAUAAAUAUGUGCCAGAUUUAUUAUUUUGCAGGCACCUAAGAUACCAUCAGUUGUGCGUCAAGCUGUGCAAAAAUUCUAUGUCAUGUUACAGAAUCUUUCUUAAAUACAGGUAUAUGUCUGCUCAUCUGGCAAUCUUAGGACAUCACUGGAUGGUUUUGUUUAAAAAGAUUACAGAGUUAAUACACACUUCCAGCAUGAAGACCAGCCAGUUGCCUCACCUGUCCUGACAUUGUUAAAGUACUUUGUGACAGUGAAAAGACAUGGCUUUAAAUUACUGCAUCAGAGAUCAAUCCAGGUUAUAAAUCUGAGGAAAACAAUAAAGCAUCACUUCGAGCUACUUAUAUCACUGCCUUAAUAAGUUGUCUGCAUGUGUAACUAACAAAGGACAGUGACCAGUUGUACCUAUGAUAUCAGAGGGCAUCCUGAAAAACACUCAUCACUAAGAAUAGAAAACUUCAAAUGACUUUUGUAUCAAUCCUUUUGAAUUUCAUCUGGCUUGGAAUUUCAGUAGCCUUUAGCAUCCUUCAAGCAUUUCAUGAAGUACAUGUACCAAUUUGCAGGUAUAAAAUGUUUGAAACAGAUUGCUUGUCCCAAAUAAAAAAAAAUAAAUUCUCUGCCAAUUAAUAGUGUCAUAAGCAGUUGAUUGAUAUCACAGUUCCACUGGCAUAGUAUUUGUAGUUGAAUGGUGCCAUUUUUAAGAAAACUUUUCACAAAAACCUGGAAAACAUCAGAUGGAAAGGAGCAUCUACAAGAAAAACAGUGAACACUUUCUUGAAUAUUAACAAUGAUAUGCCAUGUCCAUUUACAUCCUUUAUAUAAACUAAUUAACCAAAUCAUAGAGAAUUAUGUACAAAUUUGUCCUUUUGUGUAUUCAUAGUGUAUUAAAUUGAUUUUACUAAUUUAUAAAUAUUUAUGUUUUUCACAGUCAUUAACAUUUACAAAUAGAAGUACAUAUAACAUGAAAAUAUUACAUGUUUAGUAGGAUAACGUGAAAUUGUUAUACCACAAAAACCAUCGCUGACCUCGCCUCGGUCAGCAAUGGUUUUUAAGGGGUAAGAAUUUCACAUCACCCAAAAUAAACAGGUAAUAUUUUUCUUGUUAUAGAAUGCAUUUUAAAGAAAACAACAAGGUGAAACGAACGUGCAAACAUUCUGCACAGUUAACAUUUUUUAUUACUGUAUAUACUGUUACCCGUAGUCAUGCAUUUUCAACCAAUGGGAUGUAAUGUCUGGCAUGCAGUAUGGUAAUAGUACUUGUUAACAAAUGUUUUUUAAACCAAUCAAAUUUGACUAUUUAACAUGAAAGUGUAUAACAAAUUUAUCUAGCAUAAUGGUGUUGUAAGUAACCAUGGAAUGUGAGCUUGUGUGAACUUGAUCCUGAAUUAUUAAGUUUUGAAUAUUGUAAUAAAGAAUUGUGCAGCCUAAA